CAUAGUGUUUUUCUUUUCUUUUUUUAAUUCCACUUAUGAGUGAUAUAUGGUAUUUUUCUUUCCCUUUCUGGCUUACUUCACUUAGAAGGAUGAUCUCUGGGUCCAUCCACGUUGCUGCAAAUGGCAUGAUUUCAUUCUUUUUUAUGGCUGAGUAGUAGUCCACUAUAUAAAUACACCACAGCUUCUUUACCCAGUCAUCUGUCUAUAGGUAUUUAGGUUGCUUCUGUGUCUUGGCUGUUGUAUAUAGUUAUUGCUGCUUUAAAGAUAAGCAAGUGGAGACGUUUCAGGACCUGCAGACACUGUCACCACACAUAUCUUCCUGUCUCUUCACUCUUCUCAGGAGGUUUUGAUCAGAGGAAGGUGGUUCUGACAGGUCUCCCUUGUUCCUUACUGACAAUAUCAACCAGCAAGUUGGAACCACGUUUGAAGUUUUUUUGCAAGAUCCUCAUCAGCCUUGUGUGCUCCUCGUGUUGCAGUCGUGAGGCUGACCUUCCUGAAUGGGCACACACUGGGUGUAGGACAAGCCUCAGUCAUGUGGCAGAGCUGCCAACACGGCCAUCUGUUCUGGCCCAGGAACUGCCGGGAGCCUGGACCCGUAGAAGGGCCAGACCUCACAUCUGGACAUCCUGUUGUGCACCAGGGAUGGGCCCUUCCAGGACUGGCACCUUCCAGCAAGCCCUGGUGGAACUCUCCAUUUGGAGAUGGACAAACUUUUUUUUCCCCCAAAAUACCUUCCCUAACAAGCCCUCAGAGUCGAUUUUUUGGGUUCUGGAAGCAGAAGAGCGCUGCCAGAAUUGACUGUCCAAUGCUUGCUGACGCUGACCACGGCCGGAGACAUGAGCAUAGCAGAUACCAGCCCAAGGGGCAGCCUACAACGUGUGUGGAAGCCAAGGGAGACUUUGAGGAGGAGAGUGUGGGUGGGGGCCUCGCCACGCUCUGAACCGCAGUGGGCCCUGUGAGUCUGCCUGCACCGGCGCCCUCCCCGCUGCGGCCCCGGGGAGACCCCUCCAGCCCCGAGUGACUGCUGGCCUGGGCCGCCCAGGGGAGAACGCCCUUCCCCAGUCUAUGCUGAGACUGGGCAAAUGGGUAGUAACUUUGCCUCCUUUUUUUUUUUUUUUCAGUUUGAGAAUUUUUUUAUUGACAUUUACUUUAUUGUGCAAUGCUGUGUUAGUUUCUGGUGUACAGCAGUGAUUCAGUUAUAUAUUACUAUUCAUAUUUUUUCAUUACAGAUUAUUGUAAGAUACAUAGUUCCCUGUGCUGUACAUUAGGACCUUGUUUUUCUAUUUUAUAUAUGGUAGUUUGUAUCUGCUAAUCCUAAAACUCUUAAUUUCUCUCUCCCCUCUGCCCUUUUCCCUUUGGUAACCAUAAGUUUGUUUUCUAUGUCUGAGUGUCUCUGUUUUGUGAAUAAGUUCAUUUGUAUCAUUUUAGAUUCCACAUAUAAGUGACAUCGUAUGUCUUUCUCUGACUUACUUCACUUAGUAUGAUAAUGUCUAGGUCCAUCCUUGUUGCUGCAAAUGGCAUUUUAUUCUUUUUUAUUGCUGAGUACUAUUCCACUGUAUAUAUACCACAUCUUUAUCCAAUCAUCUCUCCACGGCAUUCAGGCUGUCUCCAUGUCUUGGCUAUUGUAAAUAGUGCUGCUGUGAACGUUGGGGUGCAUGUGUCUUUUAAUUAGGGUUUUCUCUGGAUAUAUGUCCAGGAGUGGGAUUGCUGGAUCUUAAGGUAAGUCUAUUUUUAGUUUAAGGAAUCUCUAUAUUGUUUCCUACAGUGGCUGCACCAGUUUUCAUUUCUACCAACAGUGUAGGAGGGUUUCCUGUUCUCCACACUAGCAUUUAUCAUUCGUGGACUUUUUAAUGAUGGCCAUUCAGACGGGUAUGAAGUGAUACCAUAUGGUACUUUUGGCUUACAUUCUCUGGUAAUUAGUGAUACUGAGCAUCUUUUCAUGUGCCUGUUGGCCAUCUGAAUGUCUUCUUUGGAGAAAUGUCAAUGUAGAUCUUCUGCCCAUUUUUGAUUGGUUUUUUUUGUUACUGAGUUGUAUGAGCUGUAUAUUCUGGAAAUUAAGCCCUUGUCAGUCACAGGGUUUGCAAGUAUUUUCUCCCAGUCUGUAGGUUGUCUUUUCGUUUUUAGUAUCCUUUGCUGUACAAAAGCUUGUAAGUUUGAUUAGGUCCCAUCUGUUGUUUUUUUGCCCCUUGUUUCUAUUGCUUUGGAGGCUGACCUAGGAAAAUAUUGCUACGGUUUAUGUCAGAGAAUGUUUUGCCUACGUUCUCUUCUAGACGAUUUAUGGUGUCCUGCCUUUUAAGUCUUUAGGCCAUUUGGAGUUUAUUUUUGUGUAUGGUGUGAGGGAGUGUUCCAGCUUCACUGAUUUACAUGCAGCUGUCCAGCUUUCCUAACACCACUUGCUGAACAGACUGUCUUUCCUCCACUGUAUAUUCUUGCCUCUUUUGUUGAAGAUUGACUAUAGGUGUGCUGGCUCACUUCUGGGCUCUCUGUUCUGUUCCAUUGAUCCAUAUGUCUUUGUUUAUGCCAAUACCAUGUUGUUUGAUCACUGUAGCUUUGAAGUAUAAAGUCUGGAAAGGUUACGCUUCUAGCUUUUUGUUCUUGUUCCUCAGUAUUGCUUUGAAAAUUGAGUCUUCUGUGAUACUACAUACAUUUUAGGAUUGUUUGUUCCAGCUCUGUGAAAAAUAUCAUGGGUAAUUUGAUAGGGAGUGAAUUAAAUCUUUAGAUUGCUUUGGGUAAUAUGGCCAUUUUAACAAUAUUAAUUCUUCCAACCUAAGAGUGUGGGAUCUCUUUCCAUUUCUUUAAAUCAUCAUUAAUUUCCUUUAUCAAUGUAAUACAGUUCUCAUCCUGUGUCUUUGACCUCCUUGGUUAGUUUUUCUUUUUUAAUCUAUUUUUUUAAAUUGAAUUAGUUACAAUGCAUCAGUUUCUGGUGUAUAGCACAAUGUCCCAGUCAUGCAUAUACAUACAUAUAUUCAUUUUCAUAUUGUUUCAUUAAGGUUAUUACAAGAUAUUGAAUAUAGUUCCCUGUGCUUUAUAGAAGAAAUUUGUUUUUCUUUAACCUAUUUUUAUGUAUAGUGGCUAACAUUUGCAAAUCUCAAACUCCCAAAUUUAUCCUUUCCCACACACUUUCCCCUGGUAACCAUAAGAUUGUUUACUAUAUCUGUAAGUCUGUUUCUGUUUUGUAGAUGAGUUCACUAGUGUCUUUUUUUUUUUAAGAUUCCACAUGAGUGAUACCAUAUGGUAUAUUUUCUUUUUCUGGCUUACUUCACUUAGAAUGACAAUGUCCAGGUCCAUCCCUGUUGCUGCAAAUGGCAUUAUUUUAUUUUUUAUGGCUGAGUAGUAUUCCAUUGUAUAAAUAUGCCACAACCUCUUUAUCCAUUUACCUGUUGAUGGACAUUUAGAUUGUUUCCAUGUCUCAGCUAUUGUAUAUAGUGCUGCUGUGAACAUUGGGGUGCAUUUAUCUAAAGAGUUCCCUCCAGAUAUAUGCCCAGGAGUGGGAUUGCUGGAUCAUAUGGUAAGUCUGUUUUUAUUUUUUUGAAGAAUCUCCACAGUAUUUUCCAUAGUGGCUGCACCAAAAUACAAUCCCACCAGUAGUGUAGGAGGGUUCCCUUCUCUCUACACCCUCUCCAGCACUUAUCAUUUGUGGACUUUUGAAUGAUGGCCAUUCUGUCUGGUGUGAGGUGAUACCUCAUAGUUCACCUCCUUGGUUAGUUUUAUU